rnacentral:rRNA from 1 species
CUAGAGAAGCGUCUUCCGCGCCGGACCGUGUACAAGUCUCCUGGAAGGGAGCAUCGUAGAGGGUGACAAUCCCGUCUCUGACACGGACCGCCGGCGCUAUGUGAUGCGCUCUCGACGAGUCGAGUUGUUUGGGAAUGCAGCUCAAAUAGGGUGGUAAACUCCAUCUAAAGCUAAAUACGGGCGAGAGACCGAUAGCGAACAAGUACCGUGAGGGAAAGAUGAAAAGAACUUUGGAAAGAGAGUUAAACAGUACGUGAAAUUGCUGGAAGGGAAACGCUUGACGUCAGUCGCGUCGUCCGGGGAUCAACCUUGCCCUCUGGCUGGGCGUAUUUCCCGGUCGACGGGUCAGCAUCGAUUUCGACCGUCGUAGAAGGACUGGAGCGAACGUGGCACUCCACGGAGUGUGUUAUAGCCUCCCGUAUGGAUGCGACGGUCGGGAUCGAGGAACUCGGCACGGCCCCUCGAGGGUUCGGGGCUUCGGUCCACGCAGCGUGCCCAGGAUGCUGGCAUAAUGGCUUUAAGCGACCCGUCUUGAAACACGGACCAAGGAGUCUAACGUGCCUGCGAGUGUUUGGGUGCAAAACCCGAGCGCGAAACGAAAGUGAAAGUCGAGACCUCCGUCGCGGAGGGCACCGACGCCCGGACCGGAGCCUUUGGCGAUGGAUCUGCGGUAGAGCAUGUAUGUUGGGACCCGAAAGAUGGUGAA